CGAACACGGAAGUUAAGCUCUUCAGCGUCGAUGGUAGUUGGGGGUUUCCCCCUGUGAGAGUAGAACGUCGCCUGGU
rnacentral:rRNA from 1 species